rnacentral:rRNA from 1 species
AUAAACGCUGGCGGCGCGCCUAACACAUGCAAGUCGAGCGAGAAAGCUCCUUCGGGAGUGAGUACAGCGGCGGACGGUUGAGUAACACGUGAGAAUCUACCCUUUAGUGAAGGAUACCCUCGAGAAAUCGAGGUUAAUACUCCAUAAGCCCCCUUGGGGGGAAAGGCGGCCUCUUUGCUGUCGCUAAAGGAUGAGCUUGCGGCCUAUCAGCUAGUUGGUGAGGUAAAGGCUCACCAAGGCAAUGACGGGUAGCCGGCCUGAGAGGGUGUUCGGCCAGAUUGGAACUGAGAUACGGUCCAGACUCCUACGGGAGGCAGCAGUGAGGAAUAUUGCACAAUGGGCGAAAGCCUGAUGCAGCGACGCCGCGUGGAGGAUGAAGGUCUUCGGAUUGUAAACUUCUGUUAAGUGGGAAGAAAAGCUCGUCUCUAAUACAGACGGGUUCUGACGGUACCAUUAGAGAAAGCACCGGCUAACUUCGU